rnacentral:lncRNA from 1 species
UCCAAUGUAUCUUUUUGUGAAGAAAUGCAGAAGCUAGAAUUUCAAGCUUCACCCGAACAUGCCAUUUUUUGCUCAUGCCGUGGAUCCAAACAAGCCAUUAGACAAAUCCGUUGUUUUCUUUAUUUUUUUUGCACGUCUUUGUGGUUGCAUAAACCCUUGCAAAAUGCAGCUUAGGUUCCUCCUGUCAUCAACAUCACCAAAGUCAACAUAAACACCAUCUCCUUCAACAAUAUUGAUAGAGCGGGUUUUAUAGGUAUUAUGCGUAGCAACAAUGGAGUCUAGCUACUUGGAUUCUCAUGCUUGAUUGGAAUUGCAUAUCUCACUUUGUUGGAACAAUGUGACUCAAGAGUUCAUUACCAUUAUAAUUGAUUCCGAUUCUACCAUUGUAACCGAAUUGUUUGUUUAUGGAACUUGUUUUCUUUGCCUAAUACUUUAGGCGUUGCUCGUUCUCGAGUGUAGUUUUGCUGGUCUUAUUUCUUUUGCAUGGAAAAAAAUGACUCAAAUGCUUCAAAUGCCUCUAUUAUGAAAUUAAAUUUUCAAAAUCAAC